rnacentral:rRNA from 1 species
UUGAGUUUACUUAGGUAUUCUUAGUGGCGGACGGGUGAGUAACACGUGAGCAACCUGCCUUUGAGAGAGGGAUAGCUUCUGGAAACGGAUGGUAAUACCUCAUAACAUACAGACAUCGCAUGAAGUUUGUAUCAAAGAUUUAUCACUCAAAGAUGGGCUCGCGUCUGAUUAGAUAGUUGGUGAGGUAACGGCUCACCAAGUCGACGAUCAGUAGCCGGACUGAGAGGUUGAACGGCCACAUUGGGACUGAGACACGGCCCAGACUCCUACGGGAGGCAGCAGUGGGGAAUAUUGCACAAUGGGGGGAACCCUGAUGCAGCGAUGCCGCGUGGAGGAAGAAGGUUUUCGGAUUGUAAACUCCUGUCUUAAAGGACGAUAAUGACGGUACUUUAGGAGGAAGCUCCGGCUAACUACGUGCCAGCAGCCGCGGUAAUACGUAGGGAGCGAGCGUUGUCCGGAAUUACUGGGUGUAAAGGGAGCGUAGGCGGGAUCGCAAGUCAGAUGUGAAAUACAUGGGCUUAACCCAUGGGCUGCAUUUGAAACUGUGGUUCUUGAGUGAAGUAGAGGUAAGCGGAAUUCCUGGUGUAGCGGUGAAAUGCGUAGAUAUCAGGAGGAACACCGGUGGCGAAGGCGGCUUACUGGGCUUUUACUGACGCUGA